UACGAAGGGGGCUAGCGUUGCUCGGAAUCACUGGGCGUAAAGGGCGCGUAGGCGGACUCUUAAGUCGGGGGUGAAAGCCCAGGGCUCAACCCUGGGAUUGCCUUCGAUACUGAGAGUCUUGAGUUCGGAAGAGGUUGGUGGAACUGCGAGUGUAGAGGUGAAAUUCGUAGAUAUUCGCAAGAACACCAGUGGCGAAGGCGGCCAACUGGUCCGAUACUGACGCUGAGGCGCGAAAGCGUGGGGAGCAAACAGG
rnacentral:rRNA from 1 species